UGCAGUAGGACUGCACUUUCGCGCUUCCCUUUCAACACUCGGUGCCACGACGUGAAGCGUACGAGCAGCCAUCAAAAUUCAUGGUGCAUGCGAACUUUGCGAAACGCGUCAUGCGGUACCCGCCAUCUCUCACGCUUGUUUCUCAACAGACUAUGCCAUCUAGUGGCACUGUGGAGAAGUGCACGCGUCGUCUCUGAGACAAGACGCUUCGUACGCUGGCGCCAGGGAACGCUUAGAAUUGUUUCCUUGCCUUCCGCAUACCCAGUGUCACAUAUUCAGUAACGAAUGCUGCUGAGUGCUUCUUGAAGAGCGGCACGCACGGAUUGCAUUACUGUCGCAGCUCGCUGAAGCAUUGGCGUGAAAGACGUUCAACGAAAGACUCUCCUGCAGAUGUGGAUGAACCUCAACCGCGAGCCAGAUGCAGUACAUCACCUCCGGAAAAUACCGAACGCGUUCGGUACGCUGGCAAACGAGAGGAGAACAGGAAGACCUGAAGUAGUGAAGAACAACGGCAAUAUCCAUAGGGCCGGAAUGCAGAGUUCGAAGAAAAUCAUACAUAAGAAUGAAAACAAGCGGAUGGAGAAUUACCUGUCGAGAGUGCUGGCCAGCUCAUAUAAAAGGUGGAGUUUUGCAAGGCUGUUUCAGUGGGCUUGUUUCCAUCGUUAAACGCAUAGCGCUGCUCUGUUCGCAGAAAAGGUCAAGAUGGUGAAAUAUCGGGGAGCUUUCAUUGCGCUUUCUCUUCUCGUUGUCCUCUUGGUCUUCACCGCGCCUGCAGUUGGAACUUUAGGUGCGCUCACGGCUGCCAUCAAUCAAAUCCAAGAGCAACAGGGGCGCCUCGAUGUUGAGCCGACAGCCGACGCGUGAAAGGCACAAAACUGACAACCCAAGUUCAUGGCGUUUUGUAAACUACGUACAUAAUAGAUGAAAAGACUAAUAAAGUGUGCCUUGAAACCCACAGUCCCUGAAACUAAUGCUGUUCUUCCAGAUAUGCAUACAGAAUCAUUCUCUUCUACACGAAGCACGACUGAGUGCACCGAAGGGUUUCUUUUUCCACGCCCAGGCCUCACCCGAGACCGAAAGUAUCUGAUGCUUCUUCCAAACCAUGCCCGUACCUGGCCGGGGCACGAAAGACCCGGGCCCAGACGGACCUGGUCCGGCUCUGUUGAAUUAUUAGCUCUUAAGCCUAAACGAAGCAAGGUCGAGUUCACAGUUAUUGUGAACAUGUUAGGCGAAAACACACACAGCUAUAUUGCAAAAACCAGCGCCUUCCAGUGCAAUCCAGUGUGAAACCAGCGCGUUUUUUUUUUUUUUUGACACUGGAUCGCACUAGGGAUGCUGGCGCUCGCUUGGAGUCAUUGGGACAUCAGUGAGAACGCUGGAUAAGAGCUGGGUCACACUGGAGGAGGCGCUGGCUGCACUGCCAUGACGCUGGGGUGGACUCAUUUGUGCAGUACAGGUGCUGGUUCACGCUGCAGUUUGCUGAUUCGCACUAGAAACUGUGCUAGUUUUGUUUGUGCUGCACUGGUUCCAGUACGCAAAGACGAGCGCCGCUGCAUAUUAAAUGCUUUAUACGAUUUCAUCAAUUGAUACUAGUUUCCUGUUCUAAAUAACGCUAUAUUUUGGAGUCAUAAAAGUCUAUGUGAUGUCGCAGCUUGGAAGAAAGAUGCGUGAGGUGCCCAGUUUAUGCACGCACAUUUGACACUACAGAUCACUUUCGUUUUUUUGCAUUUUCCCUAUUUGAGUGGGAGGAUAGCUAAAUUCUUGAACGAAACCACGCAAACGCAGAAGACGCCGCGUAUUUUAGUAUUUUGUACGUAACCUAUGACUUGGAGUUAUCGCCGUUGCCACAGCGUUUUGGAGUCGACACGAAAUCCAGAAGUCGUUCAGACGUGUUCGAACACAGAUCCCGAGUUCGAAGCCUACUGCUGAUUCAUAUUAUCGCACUGAUAACAAAGCUGAGGCGAUUCGUGCGCUUCCACUUUCCCUAGUGUACCGAAAAAAAAAAGUGUAUCGAGUGUGGCUAUCACUC